rnacentral:rRNA from 1 species
GAGGGAUAUUGGACAAUGGAUGGAAAUCUGAUCCAGCCAUGCCGCGUGCAGGAAGACGGCCCUAUGGGUUGUAAACUGCUUUUAUACGGGAGCAAUAAGGUCUACGCGUAGACUGAUGAGAGUACCGUAUGAAUAAGCAUCGGCUAACUCCGUGCCAGCAGCCGCGGUAAUACGGAGGAUGCGAGCGUUAUCCGGAUUUAUUGGGUUUAAAGGGUGCGUAGGCGGCUUUGUAAGUCAGCGGUGAAAUUUUGCAGCUUAACUGUAACAGUGCCGUUGAUACUGUGAGGCUAGGAUUUGGUUGCUGUGGGUGGAAUGUGUGGUGUAGCGGUGAAAUGCUUAGAGAUCACACAGAAUAUCGAUUGCGAAGGCAGCUCACAAAGCCAAGAUUGACGCUGAGGCACGAAAGUGUGGGGAUCAAACA